rnacentral:rRNA from 1 species
CAGUAGCCACGGGAAUACGGAGGGUGCAAGCGUUAAUCGGAAUUACUGGGCGUAAAGCGCACGCAGGCGGUCUGUCAAGUCGGAUGUGAAAUCCCUGAGCUUAACUUAGGAAUUGCAUUCGAUACUGGGAAGCUAGAGUAUGGGAGAGGAUGGUAGAAUUCCAGGUGUAGCGGUGAAAUGCGUAGAGAUCUGGAGGAAUACCGAUGGCGAAGGCAGCCAUCUGGCCUAAUACUGACGCUGAGGUACGAAAGCAUGGGGAGCAAACAGGAUUAGAUACCCCGGUAGUCCCUGUCUCUUAUAC